rnacentral:rRNA from 1 species
CCUACGGGAGACAGCAGUGAGGAAUAUUGGUCAAUGGGCGGAAGCCUGAACCAGCCAAGUAGCGUGCAGGAUGACGGCCCUACGGGUUGAAAACUGCUUUUAUACGGGAAUAACGCGCCUUACGUGUAGGGCUUUGCAUGUACCGUGUGAAUAAGUACCGGCUAAUUCCGUGCCAGCAUCCGCGGUAAUAAGGAAGGUCCGGGCUUUCUCCGGAUUUAUUGGGUUUAAAGGGAGCGUAGGCCGCAUGUCAAGCGUGCUGUGAAAUGUCCGGGCUCACCCCGGGACUUGCAGCGCGAACUGGCGUGCUUGAGUCCGCGGAAAGCAGGCGGAAUUCGUCGUGUAGCGGUGAAAUGCUUAGAUAUGACGAAGAACCCCGAUUGCGAAGGCAGCUUGCUGCAGCGGAACUGACGCUGAUGCUCGAAAGCGUGGGGAGCAAACAGGAUUAGAUACCCUAGUAGUC